rnacentral:rRNA from 1 species
AUUGCACGCUGGCGGCAGGCCUAACACAUGCAAGUCGAACGAAUGGCGGACGGGUGAGUAAUGUCUGGGCAACUGGCUGAUGGAGGGAGAUAACUACUGGAAACGGUAGCUAAUACCGCAUACCAUCGGAUUUGCACACAUGGGAGUAGCUAGUCGGUGUGGUAAAGGCUCACCUAGGCGACAAUCCCUAGCUGGUCUGAGAGGAUGACCAGCCACACUGGAACUGAGACACGGCCCAGACUCCUACGGGAGGCAGCAGUGGGGAAUCUUGCACAAUGGGCGCAAGUCUGAUGCAGCCAUGCCGCGUGUAUGAAGAAGGCUUUCGGGUUGUAAAGUACUUUCAGCGGGGAGGCGUUACCCGCAGAGGAAGCACCGGCUAACUCCGUGCCAGCAGCCGCGGUAAUAC